UACGUAGGGUGUAAGCGUUAAUCGGAAUUACUGGGCGUAAAGCGUGCGCAGGCGGUGAUGUAAGACAGAUGUGAAAUCCCCGGGCUCAACCUGGGAACUGCAUUUGUGACUGCAUCGCUGGAGUGCGGCAGAGGGGGAUGGAAUUCCGCGUGUAGCAGUGAAAUGCGUAGAUAUGCGGAGGAACACCGAUGGCGAAGGCAAUCCCCUGGGCCUGCACUGACGCUCAUGCACGAAAGCGUG
rnacentral:rRNA from 1 species